rnacentral:misc_RNA from 1 species
GAAAUGCGAUAAGUAAUGUGAAUUGCAGAAUUCAGUGAAUCAUCGAAUCUUUGAACACACCUUGCGCUCCUUGGUAUUCCUUGGAGCAUGCCUGUUUGAGUAUCAUGAAAUCUUCAAAGUAAACCUUUUGUUAACUCAAUUGGUUUCUACUUUGGUAUUGGAGGUCUUUGCAGCUUCACACCUGCUCCUCUUUGUUCAUUAGCUGGAUCUCAGUGUUAUGCUUGGUUCCACUCGGCGUGAUAAGUUAUCUAUCGCUGAGGACACUGUAAAAGGUGGCCAAGGUAAAUGCAGAUGAACCGCUUCUAAUAGUCCAUUGACUUGGACAAUACUUUUAUGAUCUGAUCUCAAAUCAGGUAGGACUACCCGCUGAACUUAAGC